GAUUAGUCGGUAUUGCGUGAAGGAUGGCAGUGAAAAUCCUUUUAUGAAGCGUAGCGCAAUAAAAGAUUGCAACAUACAGCCUGACCUUGU
rnacentral:sRNA from 1 species